rnacentral:rRNA from 1 species
CCUACGGGUGGCAGCAGUGAGGAAUAUUGGUCAAUGGUCGCAAGACUGAACCAGCCAUGCCGCGUGCAGGAUGACGGCCCUAUGGGUUGUAAACUGCUUUUCUACGGGAAUAAACCCCUUUACGUGUAAAGGGCUGAAGGUACCGUAGGAAUAAGCACCGGCUAACUCCGUGCCAGCAGCCGCGGUAAUACGGAGGGUGCAAGCGUUAUCCGGAAUCAUUGGGUUUAAAGGGUGCGCAGGCGGGGUUUUAAGUCAGUGGUGAAAUCCCUUCGCUU